GUGCAGCAGGCGCGAAAACUUUACCAUGCGGGAAACCGUGAUAAGGGGACACCGAGUGCCAGCAUCAUAUGCUGGCUGUCCAGGUGUGUAAAAUACACCUGUCAGCAAGGGCCGGGCAAGACCGGUGCCAGCCGCCGCGGUAACACCGGCGGCCCGAGUGGUGAUCGUGAUUAUUGGGUCUAAAGGGUCCGUAGCCGGUUUGGUCAGUCCUCCGGGAAAUCUGACGGCUCAACCGUUAGGCUUUCGGGGGAUACUGCCAGGCUUGGAACCGGGAGAGGUAAGAGGUACUACAGGGGUAGGAGUGAAAUCUUGUAAUCCCUGUGAGACCACCUGUGGCGAAGGCGUCUUACCAGAACGGGUUCGACGGUGAGGGACGAAAGCUGGGGGCACGAACCGGAUUAGAUACCCGGGUAGUCCCAGCCGUAAACGAUGCUCGCUAGGUGUCAGGCAUGGCGCGACCGUGUCUGGUGCCGCAGGGAAGCCGUGAAGCGAGCCACCUGGGAAGUACGGCCGCAAGGCUGAAACUUAAAGGAAUUGGCGGGGGAGCAC
rnacentral:rRNA from 1 species